rnacentral:rRNA from 1 species
GAUCCUGGCUCAGGACGAACGCUGGCGGCGCGCCUAACACAUGCAAGUCGAACGAGAGAGAGGGAGCUUGCUUCCUUGAUCGUAGUGGCGAACGGGUGAGUAACGCGUGAGGAACCUGCCUCAAAGAGGGGGACCAACAGGUUGGAAACGACUGCUAAAUACCGCAUAAGCCCACGACCCGGCAUCGGGAAGAGGGAAAAAGGAGCAAUCCGCUUUGAGAUGGACCUCGCGUCCGAUUAGCUAGUUGGUGAGG